UCCGUAGGCGGGCGUCUAAGUCAGUGGUGAAAUCUUACAGCUCAACUGUAAAAUUGCCAUUGAUACUGGAUGUCUUGAAUUAGUGUGAAGUGGUUAGAAUGUGUAGUGUAGCGGUGAAAUGCAUAGAUAUUACACAGAAUACCAAUUGCGAAGGCAGAUCACUAACACUAUAUUGACGCUGAGGGACGAAAGCGUGAGGAGCGAACAGGAUUAGAUACCCUGGUAGUCC
rnacentral:rRNA from 1 species